GGCCUGGCUGCUAGGUCAGUGCACAGCUCUACUCCUGACGGCUUUUCCUGCUCUCACAUCAUGAACUCAUCUGGGUCCUCUUUCAGGAGUUUAAAGAUGCCCGUCUCGGCUGCGGAGGUGUCUUCCUCAUAGUUUGCAGGGUCAGAAAGUGUCUCGGUGUCUUCAGCUGCCGACGCAGGGACCCUGAAGUCGUAUCUGGAUUCAGCAGCCGUCAGCAGGAUGGGAUUGGUGUCUGCUCCCUUUAUUCUGUGUCUCUGCAUCCAAACACCAACUUCGUCGGUGGCCUCUUCAUCACUGAGAGUCUCUUCCAGGUUACCU
rnacentral:lncRNA from 1 species